rnacentral:lncRNA from 1 species
AAGCCUGACAGAGACACAACAAAAAAAGAAAAUUUAAGGCCAAUAUCCCUGAGGAACAUCAAUGCGAAAAUCCUCAAUAAAACACUGGCAAACCAAAUCCAGCAGCACAUCAAAAAGCUUAUCCACCAUGAUCAAAUCAGCUUCAUACCUGGGAUGUAAGGCUGGAUCAACAUAUGCAAAUCGAUAAAUGUAAUCUAUCACGUAAACAGAAUCAAUCACAAAAAAACACGAUUAUCUCAAUAGAUGCAGAAAAGGCCUUUGACAAAAUUAAACAGCGCUUCAUGCUAAAAACUCUCAAUAAACUGGGUAUCAAUGGAAUGUAUCUCAAAAUAAUAAGAGCUAUUUAUGACAAACCCA